AUGGUAGUUCAAGUAUUCCA
rnacentral:siRNA from 1 species